GUAUUUAUUAAAAGACAGAGGUUAGCACUCCCCUUGACAAAAAUGGAAGAGGCCCUUGGGCUAAAAACACACAUAAGGUUAAGGCAUUGUCAACUACUUCGUGACAUUCAACCACUGUUUUUA
rnacentral:ncRNA from 1 species